GCCCGCGCAGCCCUCGCCGGGCCCGGCCCAGCUCCGCGGCCGCCCGUUUUCUUCCCACCUCACCCCCCCUUCCCUCUCUGGUCCUCUUUGUCCCCACCGCCUCGCAGCGCUUCUCGCUCCCCUCCUUUUCUCUACUCCCCGGCCAGCCCUGCGCCCCCAGCGUCCCACUUGCCUCCUUCCCGAUCCCGCUUCCCCGGGCCAGCAUCCCGCUCCGUCUGCUCCUGGCCCGCCCCUCCUCCCUCGCUGCCCGCUCGCCCCAUUCCUCCAGACCCCGGGCCCCUCUCCUUCCUUGUCUUUCCCCCAACAUCCCCUUCAUGGACACACCUAGCCCAGCAGCGGGCCUGCAUAAGUGUCUCCCGGUAGCGGGCCCCUGGACCCCGUGUACACCUGUGGUGAUUCCCAGACGGGGUACUGGGGCCUGACCUUUCACAGAACUGAUCUGAUUGAGUUCUCCACUGCAUUUGAAAUACAUCUAACUUUAAGAGUUGGAGUGGAUUCUACUCAUUCAUUAAAAAAAUUUAAAACAAUGUUCUAAAAUAUUAAGAAAUAUGAAGUGCAUCAAGCAUUUGCUUGUGACCCAACGAAGUCUCCAACAAAGCUACUUUAGAAGCCAGUACACUCAACACAAUCAAGAGGCCCACAGUCUGGAUGGAUGCAAGCUAAUAUGCUUUUUCUCCUGAAGCUGAAAUUGUCAUCAAAAUGAUUUUUCUAUAACCACUCUCUGCACAGUACAACUAUGUAAGCGAAUAAAGAAGAAACACAUUUUAUGUAAGGAAAAAUCUUGUGGCAGAGACAGUUAAUGCUCACCAUGUGUUCACGUGCUGCCCACCAUAUACUUCCCUUUCUUGCUGUUAGAAGAGAGACCAUAUGACCAGCGCCAGACAUUGAGGAGAAGUAACAUGCAGACCAAGACAACAAAGAGUCAGUAAGCAGCCCCUGUAAGAUGCUUGCCCUCCUAUGACAUCCUUGGAAGCCAGCUGUCCCAGGUGACAUAGGUAUAAGACACAAUACAGCUAUUCCUGCCUUAACAUUCUCACAAGCAAAAGCGUAUCUUGAUGAUGUGGCACUAAGAGAUACCAGUAUCUGUUACAACAGCAGAGUCAGCCUAUCCUGACUAAUGUAGAUCCUUCUGAUAUCAAUUGAUAAAGGGAUUCAACCAUCUUUGUCAUAGUCAUCAUUGCAUUCAUACUGCUGAAUGCAGAGCCUUUCACAUAGUUGAAGGAAAAUGAAUGAAUUUUAAAUCACGUCCAGUUUCUGUAUAUUGUAUGGUUAAGCCACCUGUGAACUGUUUUUUGAAAUCCAAUAGCUGGUUGCCUUCCUGAAAUAUCAUCUCAUCAUGAUCAUUCCCUCAGAUUAAGAUUUUACUAUAUAGUUAAUCAACCUCAAACUCCUCCCUUUGACAUUCAAGGUCCUCAUAACCUUACUAGGUUGCUAUGAUUUUACCCUUUUAUUUUUCCAUUCCAAUCUCAUCUAUCAUUAUCCACUGACAUGCGCCUCCUAGUCAUGUUUUUCACUGUUCUAGGAGCAAACAUUAUGUUUUUGAGAAAAUUAUUUCAAGACUGAGCUUCCCAUGAAUGGGUUUCACAUUCUGUGAAAUUAUUAUCUGUAGUAGUAAGAGAAUGAAUACAGAAUUUUUAAAUAUUCAGAAUCAUAUAAAAUCUAUACACAUUUUUAUUUUUGUAUAAGUUACCUGGGUUGACAAUUCAGAGGAGCAUUAUUAACAAAGGUGCCACUAUUUCUGUAACACACUUUCCAGAAUCUCCUCUGAUAAUCUUAUACAUGAAAUUGUUGCCCAGUAUUUGUAAAAGGAACGAGGAAAACACUAGUAACUUCUUCCAAACUCACUCCUCUUCUUUUUCCUUAAUCCUGCCUCCAUUUCCUUAGAUCCUACUUUUCACCUUGGGCCCAGAGUAGAAUGCAAAGGAGGAAAGCUUCUAAGGAGGAUUUUCUUGUUUUUAGAAACACUUCAGAAAAUGUAAUCAUUUAUUCUCUGGAUGCAGUCAUGUUUCUAAAUGUUUCAGUCAUCAUGUCAACAUGAAAGGAUGCAGCCCAGGGUCAGAGAUGACACUUUGAGACAAGGACAGUGGGCAGAAACUUGGAAAGAGCAGAGAUCCUUGACAGUGUCACCAAUCACUAAUGAUCUAACCCUGGAUCUCUUCUUGUCCUGAUUUCUACAACUGAGUCAAUUUCUGUUACACAUGAGGAAGCAAUAGAACCCACUUACCGUUGCUGUGUUAGUCUAUAAGGUAAUCUUCAUAAGACACCAUAGAACAGGUGACUUUUAUAAAAGACAUUGCUGUUUUAUAAUUCUGAGUGCUGAAGCCCAAAUCAAGGCGUUGGUGGGCUUGGUCUUCUUUUAGGCCUUUCUUCUUGGAUUCCAGA